rnacentral:lncRNA from 1 species
GGGCAGUGGCUGCACACGCACGGCGAGGAGCCCCAGCAGGUACGGCUGGCACAACGUUGGGCAUGGUGUUGGACAUGAGUGCCUGCGGCCGACGGAUGCGUCAAGGCGCAGGUGAGGCUGGAGGCCUUCGGCUGCGCGAAGAUCUCAUGGUUGCACUGCGGAUUGGCCGGAUGAGGAACCCGAGGUGGGACUGGACACGAGGGUGGCGGCGGCUGGAGGAUUGUGUGGAUAGGACAGGGAUCCCAGUUUUUAGGGAUUAGGUCU